UACGAAGGGGGCUAGGCGUUGCUCGGAAUCACUGGGCGUAAAGGCGCACGUAGGCGGCUUUCUAAGUCAGGGGUGAAAUCCUGGAGGCUCAAACUCCCAGAACUGCCUUUGAUACUGGAGAGCUCGAGUCCGGAAGAGGUGAGUGGAACUCCGAGUGUAGAGGUGAAAUUCGAUAGAUAUUCGCAAGAACACCAGUGGCGAAGGCGGCCGACUGGUCCGGUUCUGACGCUGAGGCGCGAAAGCGUGGGGAGCAAACAGG
rnacentral:rRNA from 1 species